GCCCGUAAGCUCGGGAUAACAUGGGGAAACUCAUGCUAAUUCCGGAUAGGGUCUUCUCUCGCAUGAGAGGAGACGGAAAGGUGGCGCAAGCUACCACUUACGGAUGGGCCUGCGGCGCAUUAACUAGUUGGUGGGGUAACGGCCUACCAAGGCGACGAUGCGUAUCCGACCUGAAAGGGUGACCGGCCACACUGGGACUGAGACACGGCCCAGACUCCUACGGGAGGCAGCAGUAGGGAAUUUUCCACAAUGGACCAAAGUCUGAUGGAGCAACGCCGCGUGAACGAUGAAGGUCUUCCGAUUGUAAAGUUUUGUUGUCAGAGACCAACAACUACCGUUCAAACAGGGCGGUACCUUGACGGUACCUGA
rnacentral:rRNA from 1 species